rnacentral:tRNA from 1 species
AAGAUUUUAAUAAGGAUUUCUAACCCUAAAAUAUGUUUUAACAUAAAUCUUU